rnacentral:lncRNA from 1 species
UUUGAAAAUCUUUUAUUCCAAAUUAUACACACAUAAAAAGACUGGGGGUAAAGAUUUAUUUGCUUGCCAUUUGCAUCAUACUCUCUCCCCCAACUAAGGGUUUUCUCUUGUUAUAAAAUAAAGCAAUUCUUGUCUUGAAUUUCUUCCUUUCAGGGAUUCAGUCAAAAUCUUUCAGAAUACUAGUGCACUUGGCACAGAAAACUUUUAAGUAGUUUAUCAGAUUGAGCAUUUGUGACUGGAAGGAUCCCAGGGAGAGAGAAAACUAUUAAUGAAAAGUACCAGGCAGUUUAAACUCCCAUCACACUGUUUUCCAGUAGUUCUGAGAAGGCUGUGCCUCUUAUGUUUUUACUUCAUGUCUUUUAUAUUUAGGAAAGAUUUUUUCCUUACCAAAGUGAAUCUAUUAAUCACUCAGCUCCCUACUUAAACUUAUCAACAAUAAAUGUCAAAUUAGAACUCAUGAUAAACAUGAGAUGACAAUUGUGUUCUGGCAGAGACAAAUCCAACGAUGAAACCUUAUAG